UACAGAGGCCUCGAGCGUUAGGCGGAAUCACUGGGCUUAAAGCGUGUGUAGGCGGAUUGCUAAGUACCUUGAGAAAUCCCACGGCUUAACCGUGGAACUGCUUGGUAUACUGGCUGUCUUGAGCCACUUAGGGGCGACCGGAACAAACGGUGGAGCGGUGAAAUGCGUAGAUAUCGUUUGGAACGCCAAAGGUGAAAACAGGUCGCUGGGAGUGUGCUGACGCUGAGACACGAAAGCCAGGGGAGCAAACGGG
rnacentral:rRNA from 1 species